rnacentral:lncRNA from 1 species
UUUUUCUUGAACCCCGAAAUUUUCUCUUUUUUUUUUCAUUUUCUUGAACCCCAAAAUUUUCUUUCGCGCAAAUGAUCCCGGAUCACUGCAUUUGAACCCCGACAUCUUGGUUGCCAAAAUAAUGAACCCCAUUCUCCAUUUUGAACCCCAGUCGCCUGACGAUAACUUGUGAUCGCCAUUAUGAACCCCGUUCUCCAGAAAAUUCCGCAACAUUUCCCUUUCUCCAUUUGAACCCCG